rnacentral:sRNA from 1 species
GUCAGUCUCGCCGGGCGCUCCUUCCCUGCGCCCCUGUCUGGAAAAGAGGAGACCUGGAAGCCGGGUUAAACUUUAACACGGGUCGGGCACAGAGCAGGGGGAAUCAGCUGCAUUCCCUCUGGCCAAGCUGGUCAGAGCUCUGCGGGCUGCCGUCCUUGGCCAAGAGCGUGUGGGCUAGCUCCGGUCUCUGCCCAGGCUGGUAAACAAGGGCGUGGAAAAGAUACCCCAGUCUGCGGUGACGAGGACUCCAGUGCCCGAAGUGCAGCUCGCCCAGCCCUAGCUCAGUGCCGAGCCCUUAGCGUGGACUGGGCUGGCCCCGGAAGCCCCCACGGGCUCUACCUGACCCUGCAGAGACAGGGUUUCACCAUGCUGGCCAUGCUGGUCUCGAAGUCCUGACCUCAGGUGAUCCACCUGCCUCAGCCUCUCAAAGUGCUGGGAUUACAGGUGUGAGCCACUGCGCCCAGCAGGAAUAUUCCUAAAUAUAAGAGGUAGAACACCUGAAGGAGAAGCUCAUUAGCCAGGCCCAGGAAGUGAGCCGACUGCGAUCUGAGCUGGGGGGCACCGACUUGGAGAAGCACCG